UGGCGACCGGCGCACGGGUGAGUAACACGUAUCCAACCUGCCGAUGACUCGGGGAUAGCCUUUCGAAAGAAAGAUUAAUACCCGAUGGCAUAGUUCUUCCGCAUGGUAGAACUAUUAAAGAAUUUCGGUCAUCGAUGGGGAUGCGUUCCAUUAGGUUGUUGGCGGGGUAACGGCCCACCAAGCCUUCGAUGGAUAGGGGUUCUGAGAGGAAGGUCCCCCACAUUGGAGCUGAGACACGGUCCAA
rnacentral:rRNA from 1 species